UUUACUCAAAUGGAGUUGGAACGUUUGCCUACGUUUGCAGCUAGGGGUGCUGUUCCAAAUAUACACAAAUUUGAGAUA
rnacentral:pre_miRNA from 1 species